rnacentral:rRNA from 1 species
UACGUAGGGGGCUAGCGUUGUCCGGAAUCAUUGGGCGUAAAGCGCGCGUAGGCGGCCCGGUAAGUCCGCUGUAAAAGUCAAAGGCUCAACCUUUGAAAGCCGGUGGAUACUGCCGGGCUAGAGUCCGGAAGAGGCGAGUGGAACUCCUGGUGUAGCGGUGGAAUGCGCAGAUAUCAGGAAGAACACCAACGGCGAAGGCAGCUCGCUGGGACGGUACUGACGCUGAGACGCGAAAGCGUGGGGAGCGAACAGG